rnacentral:rRNA from 1 species
CCUACGGGUGGCUGCAGUGGGGAAUCUUGCGCAAUGGGCGAAAGCCUGACGCAGCCAUGCCGCGUGAAUGAUGAAGGUCUUAGGAUUGUAAAAUUCUUUCACCGGGGACGAUAAUGACGGUACCCGGAGAAGAAGCCCCGGCUAACUUCGUGCCAGCAGCCGCGGUAAUACGAAGGGGGCUAGCGUUGCUCGGAAUUACUGGGCGUAAAGGGAGCGUAGGCGGACAUUUAAGUCAGGGGUGAAAUCCCGGGGCUCAACCUCGGAAUUGCCUUUGAUACUGGGUGUCUUGAGUAUGAGAGAGGUGUGUGGAACUCCGAGUGUAGAGGUGAAAUUCGUAGAUAUUCGGAAGAACACCAGUGGCGAAGGCGACACACUGGCUCAUUACUGACGCUGAGGCUCGAAAGCGUGGGGAGCAAACAGGAUUAGAUACCCAAGUAGUC